rnacentral:rRNA from 1 species
GAUGAACGCGGCGGCGUGCUUAACACAUGCAAGUCGAACGAAGCUGCUUAAAGGAAGUUUUCGGAUGGAAUUUAGGUAGACUUAGUGGCGGACGGGUGAGUAACGCGUGGAUAACCUGCCUUAUACAGGGGGAUAACGGAGAGAAAUUUCCGCUAACACCGCAUAAGACCACAGCACCGCAUGGUGCAGGGGUAAAAUAUUUAUAGGUAUAAGAUGGAUCCGCGUCCGAUUAGCUAGUUGGUGAGGUAGAGGCUCACCAAGGCGACGAUCGGUAGCCGGCCUGAGAGGGUGAACGGCCACAUUGGGACUGAGACACGGCCCAAACUCCUACGGGAGGCAGCAGUGGGGAAUAUUGGACAAUGGGGGAAACCCUGAUCCAGCGACGCCGCGUGAGUGAAGAAGUAUUUCGGUAUGUAAAGCUCUAUCAGCAGGGAAGAAAAUGAC